rnacentral:sRNA from 1 species
GAAAUUGAGAGAGAGUAGAACACUAAAUUAGCAAAAUGGCUGCAAAAA